GACGAACGCUGGCGGCGUGCUUAACACAUGCAAGUCGAACGAAGAGCGAUGGAAGCUUGCUUCUAUCAAUCUUAGUGGCGAACGGGUGAGUAACGCGUAAUCAACCUGCCCUUCAGAGGGGGACAACAGUUGGAAACGACUGCUAAUACCGCAUACGAUCUGACCUCGGCAUCGAGGAUAGAUGAAAGGUGGCCUCUAUUUAUAAGCUAUCACUGAAGGAGGGGAUUGCGUCUGAUUAGCUAGUUGGAGGGGUAACGGCCCACCAAGGCGAUGAUCAGUAGCCGGUCUGAGAGGAUGAACGGCCACAUUGGGACUGAGACACGGCCUAGACUCCUACGGGAGGCAGCAGUGGGGAAUCUUCCGCAAUGGACGAAAGUCUGACGGAGCAACGCCGCGUGAGUGAUGACGGCCUUCGGGUUGUAAAGCUCUGUUAAUCGGGACGAAAGGCCUUCUUGCGAAUAGUAGAAGGAUUGACGGUACCG
rnacentral:rRNA from 1 species